rnacentral:lncRNA from 1 species
AAAGUAUAGUCAAACGAAGGAGAGCAUCUCCACAUAAUUAUUUUCUCUUAACCAAGCUCGAAAAGAUCUAUAGGCAUAUGACCGGGUAGUUAUGAGAUCAUAGUAUAUAUUCAGGGAACCUUCAGCAAUUCAAAAUAACUCCCAACAGCAAGCGCUCCACAAAUUAAAUAAGAGUGUUCAAUAGAAACAUGCCAUUCUAUGCCGUCUUUCACAAAAUGACCCACAAACAAUAAACAUUAAACAUAGCAUCAAAGCAAAUUGAGAAACUGUAACUUAGCUAUAAAUUAAUCUCAGAAUGUCUAAACUCGUUGUCCUUCAGGGCUCUGUUUUCGUGAUUCCCAAAUUUACAAUCUCGGAUCCCGACGGCUUGUUGGACCCCUUUGGAGGAAGAAUUACAUACGUCUUACAGUACCAGCUUCAUGCUCUGUUGUUCAGAUUCCCACCCUCAAAUACAAAUUCCAAAAGAAAAAUAUUAGCAAUAAUUAUCAAAGAAACAUUAGUAAUGCUAAAUUGAGCAACAAUCCCAGCGAAAAUCUGCCUCUACGGCCAAAGAUUAACCAAAUCCUGGUGAGAGAAAUCAGCAGCGUAAAUAAAAGUUAAAAGAAAGAAAAAGGGAAAGGAGCUGCGCCGGAAUUCAGAUGCUAAGAGCUGCGCUGGAGCUUCUCCUCAAUCGCGCGACUGAGGCUGCCCUCUGGUGCGUCUCCAUGAACCCAUGAACCUGCGCUGAAUAUUGAGAAUUUCUUCCCGGGCUGAGCAGCAAGACUAAAUCUUCCUUGUGAACCUGUACUGCCUCGAAGACUACCGUACCGCGCUGCCCUCAAGGAUUACCACCAUGCUUGCGCUGCCCUCAAAGGCCCUCGCCUGCGCUCCCAUCAACUUAGAAUCCGAGUGUCUUGGUGUUCACAGAUGGAGAGUUCACUGAUAAUCCUUGCCGACAGCGCUGAAGAUUGCAAAUUUCUUCCCGAGCUGAGUAGCUGCGCUGAAAAUUGAGAGCCUCUUCCCGGGCUGAGCAGCAGCACUGAAUCUUCCUUGUGAACCUGCGCUGCCCAUUUAGUCUAUUGCGUGAACCUGUGCUGCCCUCUAAGGUUACCGUACUGCGCUGCCCUCGAAGAUUACCGCCAUACCUGCGCUGCCCUUUUGUGUGUCGAUAAGCCAUCCGUUUGUCGCUCGUGCGCUGAGCUGUGGACUGAGUAACGAUGAUCUCCGUCCCACCUGUACAGAUUCAGAUGCCCUACUGCUCCGAUAACAAUGAACCUCGCGAAAUUGAAUUAAUGCAGCAAUGCCUUAUAUUAAGAGUUGUAUCAGCGCUGGAGUCCCCUAAACACUGAAACAAUGCAACGAUACUUGGAUUAAAAGCCCAUUCCUCCAUCAAACGAGCUCACAUACAAUAAACAUAAUAAAAACGGAGCCAAAAUAAUAGAAAUUAUUCCCAUUAGCAAUCCCAAAAUC